GGAGGAAAAGAAACUAACAAGGAUUCCCCUAGUAACUGCGAGUGAAGCGGGAAAAGCUCAAAUUUAAAAUCUGGUGGUCUUUGGCCAUCCGAGUUGUAAUCUAGAGAAGUGUUACCCGUGUCGGACCGUGUACAAGUCUCCUGGAAUGGAGCGUCAUAGAGGGUGAGAAUCCCGUCUUUGACACGGACUACCGAGGCUUUGUGGUGCGCUCUCAAAGAGUCGAGUUGUUUGGGAAUGCAGCUCAAAAUGGGUGGUAAAUUCCAUCUAAAGCUAAAUAUUGGCGAGAGACCGAUAGCGAACAAGUACCGUGAGGGAAAGAUGAAAAGAACUUUGGAAAGAGAGUUAAACAGUACGUGAAAUUGCUGAAAGGGAAACGCUUGAAGUCAGUCGCGUUAGCUGGAAAUCAGCCUUGCUUUUGCUGGGUGUACUUUCUGGUUGACGGGCCAGCAUCAGUUUUGACCGGUGGAAAAAGUCUGGAGGAAUGUGGCAUCUUCGGAUGUGUUAUAGCCUUUGGUCGUAUGCAUCGAUUGGGACUGAGGAACUCAGCACUUGUGCUUAGGAUGCUGGCAUAAUGGCUUUAAUCGACCCGUCUUGAAACACGGACCAAGGAGUCUAACAUGCCUGCGAGUGUUUGGGUGGAAAACCCGGACGCGUAAUGAAAGUGAAAGUUGAGAUCCUUGUCAUGGGGAGCAUCGACGCCCGGACCAGAAGUUUUCUGACGGCCCUGCGGUAGAGCAUGUAUGUUGGGACCCGAAAGAUGGUGAACUAUGCCUGAAUAGGGUGAAGCCAGAGGAAACUCUGGUGGAGGCUCGUAGCGAUUCUGACGUGCAAAUCGAUCGUCAAAUUUGGGUAUAGGGGCGAAAGACUAAUCGAACCAUCUAGUACUGG
rnacentral:rRNA from 1 species